rnacentral:rRNA from 1 species
AGUGAACGCUGGCGGCAGGCCUAAUACAUGCAAGUCGAACGGCAGCACAGCAGAGCUUGCUCUGUGGGUGGCGAGUGGCGGACGGGUGAGGAAUACAUGGGAAUCUGCCCAGUCGUGGGGGAUAACGUAUGGAAACGUACGCUAAUACCGCAUGCGCCCUAAGGGGGAAAGCCGGGGACCGCAAGGCCUGGCGCGAUUGGAUGAGCCCAUGUUCGAUUAGCUAGUUGGCGGGGUAAAGGCCCACCAAGGCGACGAUCGAUAGCUGGUCUGAGAGGAUGAUCAGCCACACUGGAACUGAGACACGGUCCAGACUCCUACGGGAGGCAGCAGUAGGGGAAUAUUGGACAAUGGGGGCAACCCUGAUCCAGCCAUGCCGCGUGAGUGAAGAAGGCCCUCGGGUUGUAAAGCUCUUUUGUCCGGAAAGAAAAGCAAUCGGUUAAUACCCGGUUGUUCUGACGGUACCGGAAGAAUAAGCACCGGCUAACUUCGUGCC